GACGAACGCUGGCGGCGUGCCUAAUACAUGCAAGUCGAGCGCAGGAAGCCGUCUGAACCCUUCGGGGGGACGACGGUGGAAUGAGCGGCGGACGGGUGAGUAACACGUAAAGAACCUGCCCAUAGGUCUGGGAUAACCACGAGAAAUCGGGGCUAAUACCGGAUGUGCCAUCGGACCGCAUGGUCCGCUGAUGAAAGGCGCUCCGGCGUCGCCCAUGGAUGGCUUUGCGGUGCAUUAGCUAGUUGGUGGGGUAACGGCCCACCAAGGCGACGAUGAAUAGCCGACCUGAGAGGGUGAACGGACACACUGGGACUGAGACACGGCCCAGACUCCUACGGGAGGCAGCAGUAGGGAAUCUUCCACAAUGGACGAAAGUCUGAUGGAGCAACGCCGCGUGAACGAUGAAGGCUUUCGGGUCGUAAAGUUCUGUUGUAAGGAAAGAACAAGUGCCGCAGGCAAUGGCGGCACCUUGACGGUACCUUGCGAGAAAGCCACGGCUAACUACGUGCCAGCCGCCGCAGUAAGAC
rnacentral:rRNA from 1 species